AUUGAACGCUGGCGGCAUGCCUUACACAUACAAGUCGAACGGCAGCACGGGAGCAAUCCUGGUGGCGAGUGGCGAACGGGUGAGUAAUAUAUCGGAACGUGCCCAGUAGUGGGGGAUAACUGCUCGAAAGAGCAGCUAAUACCGCAUACGACCUGAGGGUGAAAGGGGGGGAUCGCAAGACCUCUCGCUAUUGGAGCGGCCGAUAUCAGAUUAGCUAGUUGGUGGGGGAAAGGCCUACCAAGGCAACGAUCUGUAGUUGGUCUGAGAGGACGACCAGCCACACUGGGACUGAGACACGGCCCAGACUCCUACGGGAGGCAGCAGUGGGGAAUUUUGGACAAUGGGCGCAAGCCUGAUCCAGCAAUGCCGCGUGCAGGAAGAAGGCCUUCGGGUUGUAAACUGCUUUUGUCAGGGAAGGAAUCCUCUAGGUUAAUACCCUUGGGGGGAUGACGGUACCUGAAGAAUAAGCACCGGCUAACUACGUGCCAGCCGCCGCCGUAAUAC
rnacentral:rRNA from 1 species